UUUUCCAUCGUGUCACAGAGAGCAAAUGUAAAGAAAGGAAGCUCAGAUUAUGACGCCAAGACACAACACAAAUGUUCAUGAGAUAAAGAUCACAACACACUAUAUUUAUACAUA